rnacentral:lncRNA from 1 species
UUUUUUCCAUUAUAGUUGGCUUACAGUGUUCUGUCAAUUUUCUACUGUAUAGCAAAGUGACCUAGUCACACAUACAUACAUACAUUCUUUUUUCCUCACAUUAUCAUGCUCCAUCAUAAGCAACUAGAUAUAGUUCCCAGUGCUACACAGCAGGAUCUCAUUGUUUAUCCAUUCCAAAGGCAAUAAUUUGCAUCUAUUCACUCCAGAUUCCCAGUCCAUCCCACUCCCUCCUCCUCUCCCUCCCACUCCCCCUUGGCAACCACAAGUCUGUUCUCAAAGUCCCUGAGUUUCUUUUCUGUGGAAAAGUUCAUUUGUACUGUAUAUUAGACUCCAGAUAUAAGUGAUAUCAUAUGGUGUUUGUCUUUCUCUUUCUGACUUACUUCAAUUAGUAUGAGAAUCUCUAGCUCCAUCCAUGUUGCUGCAAAUGGCAUUAUUUUGUUCUUCUUUAUGGCUUUAUCCCAUUUUUAAAGUUCCAAUAUAACUUUAAAAAUGGGAAUGGAACAGCUUUAGAAAGGCACAGGCUCUCCAAAUGACCCCCCACUUGUUACUGUCUUAUACUCUUACCUGCUUUUUAUUCAUUUAUUUACCUAGAUAGCCCCUGAGGCCAUAUGAGUUUACAACUCUGCCAUGUGACAUGACACUUCAUAAAGCAGAUGGCUACAAGGUUCUUUCUUAGGCUGGACUGAAAUCUUCUUUCUACAGCUUCUUUCUACAGCUUCUGCCUAUCCAUCCUAUUCCUGGAGUCCUAUAGGUUUUAUACUGGAAGUUGCAUCUUUCCUAAAGCCUGGUCUUUCGCCUUUUUGGAGAUGACAAUCAGAGUCUCUCUAAGGCCUUUCCUUUUCCGUGUUCAGCGUACAUCCUUCAACAGUCUAAUGUGACACUGGAUCCCUUCACCAUAACCAGAAUGUGCCCCUUCUCAGCAAGGGCUCUCAUAAGAGGAAAGAGAUCGCAGGCAUGGCCUACGCCCUUGCAGUUCCAUGUGUUAUCCAAGGCCAGCACAUUAGUAUCCCCUGGCAGCAUGCUGGCAACCCCACCCUAAACCUAUGGAAUCAGGAUUCUCCAGGUGGUUCAUGUUGCACAAAUCAACUCACAGAACAGAGAUUCUUUUUGCAUUAACACAGUCUAAGACUUCGUUAAUCAACCUUUGAAGAGGCAAUUCUAUUUUUGACCCUGAUUCCCAUUAUCUAAAAUGUUUUUUUUCACUCGCCACUAAGCCACAUCUUCCUAGAUGAUACUACAGUUUUAUUGAAGCAUUUUAAUAGUCUGAUUAUAGUCUGAUGAGUUAUACAUGUACCUAGACUAAGACCUUAAGGGCAGAACACAGAGCAUGCUCAUCUCUGUCUUUGGUGCCAAGCAAAGGCCCUGGUGCAUAACAGUUGCUUAUGUAAAAAAGUAAGAACAACAACAACAAAAACUAGACUAACACUGGCCAAAUGAUCGAGGAAGCUGAGUUAUGCUGUUAAACAAUUUGUGGCACUUGAUCUGGGGCUCAGUGUCUGGGCCUGGGAUUCUCCCACUCGCCACCUCUGCUCCCUCGGCAUCAGCUCUGUACUUAGGCAGGUUCUCCCAUUGUGUCCUCAAGACACUGCCACUGUUGCUCUGAGCUACAGCCUUUCUCAUUCAAGUCCAGUGGAGAAAGCGUCUGUCUGGAAACUUCAGGGGAUAGAACCAUUCUUCCUUUCUUUUCUGUUUUUCAGAAACCUCAGCGAAUGUCUCCUCCAGCUUCAUUAGCUCUGCUGGAGUUAACAGCUCAUUUUGGAGCCAAUCACUGAGGCCAAGAGGAAUUAAUAUCCUAAUAGGCUUAAGCUAAUAGGGAUCCACCCUAGAGCUGUGAGUGGCUAAAAAUGGAGGUGGGCUCCAUCAGGAAAUCAGGAAACUGUUGAUGGAAGAAGUGGUGACAGGAUGCUGGGGAGGCCACAGACAGAUGUCUGCCACAACCUCACAGGUCUGCCUUUCCAUAUCCUUUGAACCUUGCGACUGUUUUUCAGGAUGUCCAACGUUACAGCAAUCACCAGCAAGGGUUACAGCCAGAAAACUUUUCUAUUUUUAAACAACACACAAAUUAUUAUGCCCCAUCACAUUGUCUCAGAGAUCAACUUUAAAGGGGCCUGGCUUACCUCCUCCUGGAAUAAUAAAGCAGUCACAGGAGUUCUUUGCGCCACUCCAAAAACCACUCCAGAGCGGUUGGCCACACAUAAUAGAGGGUGCACUUGAAAGGCAGCAUCCAAUGACCAGUUCUGGCUGAAAACUUUUGUGUUUUCAAAAGUUCAAUAAGCAGCAGAAGUGACCACAAUGCGUUUGAAACUUUAUAGCAUGCGCCUUCAGGAGACAAAGUGCCUAAAACUAGAUGGGAAGACUUGUAAUUUUUUAAAUUAAAAACUGUAGAUAGGAGAGGUAACAGUCAAAGUAAAAUAAGCAUGAAUCCUACAUUUUUGCUUCAAAAAUAAAACCCGAGGUAUGGGGAAAACUGUAAUAUGGAAUUCAGAAAUUCGCUUUGGCCCUUUGCUCUACUACACGCUCACUGUGCCUGCUUCUUUGAGCCAAAGUCUCUCUCGAGGACUGGUCGAGCCUGCAAAGGAGAGACAUAAAACCGACAAGACCGGGACUUCCUGUCGUGGCUCAGUGGAAAUGAAUCUGACUAGCAUCCAUGAGGACGCAGGUUCGAUUCCUGGCCUUGCUCAGUGGGUUAAGGAUCCGGUGUUGCCAUGAGCUGUGGUGCAGGUCACAGACACAGCUUGGAUUCUGAAUUGCUAUGGCUGUGGUGUAGGCCGGCAGCUACAGCUCUGAUUUGACCCCUAGCCUGGGACUCUCCAUACGCCACGGGGGUCAAAUUGGAGCUGCAGCUGCCAGCCUAUGCCACAGCCACAGCCAUGUGCCACCUACACCACUGCUUGCCACAAUGCCAGAUCCUUAACCCACUGAGCAAAGCCAGGGAUCAAAACCACAUCUUCAUGGACACUACGUCAGGUUCUUAACCUGCUGAGCCACAAGGGGAACUCUGGGGGUUGAAAUUUUUUAUUAAACUUUAUAUUCUCCUCAAGGCCCUCGCGGACUUAGCAGCAUGUAUUAGAAAGAUGGUGAAAGGAAGGAUAAACUGAACUAUCUUGAAGGGCAUGCCACCUUGAAAGGCUUACAAGGCUGCUUAGUUGCUAUAAAAUGAAAAACAGAAAUCAAAAUAGGGAAAAAUUAGACUCACUGCCAAAUAAGUACUGCACUCCCAAUUUUAAAAAUUUUCAAAUCACUCUUGAAAAAGUGUUACCCUGCCCAAGAAACAGAAGAUCUACCUAGGGAUCUAGCUCUGUGAUUCGAUGACCUCUGACAAGUUCCUUUAAAAAAUUUUUAAAAAUUAAAAAAAACAUGGUUUUACCUCGUGGCGCCCACCCACGCCCGCCGGUCCCCCCGGCCCCCACACGCCGAGACAGCAAGGAGCGCCAAACCACCAGGUCUUCCCCACCUCUAGCAGUUCCUCUUCCUCUCCAAACUUCAGUGCCCUCAGCCACACAAGAUGUGAAAUAACAAGUUUUCUAAAAUCCCUUACAGCUGUAAAAUUACAUGUCCAAAAUUUCUGCACACUUGAGGCAAGUCUCCUAUGAGGAAGGCACCCUGCUAGGGACUCGUGAAAGACGAGAGAAAGAACAGAGCCAGGACUGUCCUUCAAUGAGGUCUUGGUCCACGAACAAUAAAACACAAGGGCAUGAAUAUCUGCGACCCGCAGCAGGAAGCCUCGGAGAAGUACUCACGUGGAACUGGCAGCUGUGGAGACGAGGAGCGGUUUUGCGCAGGGGCAGUGUUCACCCUGUUUCACUGUGACAAAUACAGAGUACCCAUGUACCAGGCACUGUGCCUGAGCACAAAGACACAACACAACUGAGACCAGGACAGGGUCCUGCCCUCAUGGUGCCUAAAGGCUGGCUGGGGGAAGGCAGGCUUUUGGGGAGGGGGCAGAAUUCC